UAGGAGAAGACUCUAGUUGCAAGCGUCAUUU
rnacentral:piRNA from 1 species